GAUAAGUAAUGUGAAUUGCAGAAUUCAGUGAAUCAUCGAAUCUUUGAACGCACCUUGCGCUCCUUGGUAUUCCGAGGAGCAUGCCUGUUUGAGUGUCAU
rnacentral:rRNA from 8 species